AUGUUGGAGCUGAGGCUGGUGCAGGGGAGCCUGCUGAAGAAGGUGCUGGAGGCGAUCAAGGAGCUGGUGACGGACGCCAACUUCGACUGCUCCGGGACGGGCUUCUCGCUGCAGGCCAUGGACUCCUCCCACGUCGCGCUCGUCGCCCUGCUCCUCCGCUCCGAGGGAUUCGAGCACUACCGCUGCGACCGCAACCUCUCCAUGGGCAUGAACCUCGGCAACAUGGCCAAGAUGCUCCGCUGCGCGGGCAACGACGACAUCAUCACCAUCAAGGCCGACGACGGCUCCGACACCGUCACCUUCAUGUUCGAGUCACCCAACCAGGAUAAGAUUGCCGACUUCGAGAUGAAGCUCAUGGACAUCGACAGCGAGCACCUCGGGAUCCCAGACUCUGAGUACCAGGCCAUCGUUCGCAUGCCCUCCUCGGAGUUCUCCAGGAUCUGCAAGGAUCUUAGCAGCAUCGGCGACACUGUUAUUAUUUCUGUCACCAAGGAGGGUGUCAAGUUCUCCACUGCUGGAGAUAUUGGAACCGCAAACAUUGUUUGCAGGCAGAACAAGACCGUUGACAAGCCUGAGGAAUCUACCAUUAUAGAAAUGCAAGAGCCGGUUUCACUUACCUUUGCUCUGAGGUACAUGAACUCCUUCACUAAGGCAAGCCCACUGUCAGACCAAGUCACCAUCAGCCUCUCAUCUGAACUGCCAGUGGUUGUUGAGUACAAGAUUGGCGAGAUGGGCUACAUUAGGUUUUAUUUGGCACCCAAGAUUGAAGAGGAUGAGGAAAUGAAGGCAUGA
rnacentral:rRNA from 1 species